GUAGUUCAAAACCCACAUCUACUACAUUAUUUUGAGUAGUGCAAAGUAGGCAUAAAUAAUCAAACCUCAUCACUCUAACUAGCUGGCGCCAAGGUUAUUAAUCGGUUAUAAUAAAUAUUUUCAUUGUGACAGUACCAGUAAUAUGUUUUGUCAAAACUUCAAAACAGCAGUCCAUAAACUGUAGUUUAAGUUAAUGGUUACUGCUAUAAAGCUGCUAUAAGGCUUUACUACCCGGAUUCAAACAGGCACAGAUAAUGUCUUGCGGUGCAACACAAUCCGCCAGUAUUUUAAUCCUUGUAAUGAAGGUGUAAGCUUCAACCAGUGCUACCAGUCCAGGCAUGUAGACAUUAUCUUGCAAAGAUGGCGGCGCUGGCUCUGUCUGCUAGUAUGAGCCACGCUUUGCAAACCAAUUUGACAUUGUUUACCCUUUAUCUGUGUGGCUCUGAAUCCCAAAUAAGACCAAAAGCUGGGGUGCUUUUGAGUUAAAGUAAUCGUUGUUGGUGCUGAUUAUUCAUUUCAUGAUAAUGAGGAAAUUAAUUCACAAAGUAAAUAGAUUCCCUUCAAAAUAAACAAGUCUAUUAAAGAUUGAGGACUUUUUCCAUUAUUAAUAACUCUUGAGUUCUAGUGCAUCAUGCUAAAUAAUAAUAAAAUCUUUGUGAUUUAAGCUGUUGGUUCAAGUGUUUAUAUGGCAGGUGAUCUAAUCAGGUCGUUUUUUUUUCUUUUGUGCAUCUAAAAAUCUAAUCACAACAGCGACGUGACGCAUUAAAAAGUUGUCAGUCUGCCUCACAUCUCUCUCUCCUCUUCUGGUCCAAGCACAUCAGACUUUUUAGAGUUUUAAUUCACUCCCCGCUCUGGAAAAUCUCCGCUUCACACAGUUUGUCACUGAAUUUUUAUGAGUUUGCGUUGCAUACCUUUCUACUGUCUUAGCAGUGAAUUAUGUUGAAUUCUUUCGAGUGUUUCUCCUUAAAACAAACUCUGCUGUCAUUCACUUUGAGAUUCACAAAGAAGAACUGUUUAUCUCUGAGUUUGUGAGUCAAGAUGUUGGGUAGAAAUGCUGUUAACACGGGACGGUUUCUUAUUGGGAUCCAUUUAUAAAAAGGUUUAACACCACCUUGAAACCAAAUUCAAUUUUAUUCAUUAUGGGCCUGUCAAAGUGAGGUGUUUAUAGAGCGCUUUCAGUCCUGCUAUAAACAGGAUAUUAUGCUUUAUAGUAUUCCAGCUAAUUGAAAUAAUCCAAAAUCUGUGCCCUCUCAAACAAGCAUUUCUAAGAACUCUAAAAGUAACUGCUUUGUGACACUCACAGUACACAACGUAUACUAGAUCGAUCAAUACAUGUUGUGAGGAGCAUACACUGAAACUCAUCUCCAUCCCAGCCGUCAGAAAACACAUCCUCACAUGAAUGCUCUCUGACACGGAGCUCUGAUUACAAACCCACCCGUCACAAAUGACCAUGAUCUAUACCGCGCUCCCAAUGGCUCUCCUGGGAAGCUCCCCCUCUUAUUUCAUUUUUCAUCUCAUCCUCUUCCGCUUUAUUCUUCAGUUAUUCAAACUCACUAAAUCCAAAUAUGAGGAGACACGGAGCCCUGCUGUUUUGACAAGUUAAAUGACUACAGGCGAUGAUAUGCUUCCCAGCCAGUCUGUAAGCAGCACACGUCGCCAGCCACCGCCUCGCUGUGCUCAACCAAAACAUGUGUGUGUGCUCCUCAUUCCUGCAGCCACCAGACCUUCUCUCUGCAGCAUCCUUUUUUGAGGUAAAAUUGAAAUGGAUUGUGUCGCUCAAUAUUUUAUUGACAUCAACUUCACAGAAUGUUGCUACAGUGACACAGGGGAUAAUUAUUUCACCACAGAUUUCUUCCUCCCUGCAUUUUCUCUCCCUCUCUCUCUCUCUCUCUCUCUCUCUCACUCUCUCUUUCAGCCUUCCUCCAAGCCCUUCCAUUCCUGUAGAGAAUUAGUUCUGCAUAAAUUACCCAGUGGAAUAUUGAAUCAGUCUCCAGCCACCAAAGGCGAGUCUGUGUGGCUGAUUACUGAGCGGUGUGCACAAGAUGCGUGCAGACAAACACACGCGGAGGACGAGGGAGAGGGGCCUCUAAGCGAGGAGCUGACACCAUUGCAGAAAACAUGGAAAGAGGAGGACACCAUUGCAGAAAACAUGGAAAGAGGAGGAGGGAGGAAGAAAAAAAGAAGACAGGGGGGAGGGGGGAGAUCAGCCAAUCUGGAUAUGAGGAGUGAAGGCUGUAUUAGCCACCCUAGCUCCACACUAUCUUCUCAUUACUUAGUCAUUAGCAGGGGCAUGGUUUUAAAAGAAGGAGGGAUCAAUCAAUUGUCAUGGGUCAAUGUUUUGCAGCCCCAUUAUGAACCUUGGGUGGCUCUGUAAAUUAAGCACAGUAAUUACUCAUGUUAAUUACACAAAGAUGGUGGUCACAUUGAUCUGCAGAUACAUUUCGCAAAGUGUAAACGGUACGAGUAAACAGAGGUUUGAGGUGGAGUACGUAAAGGGGUAAUGCACUGAUCAUUUGAGGGAAAAAGAGACGAGUAAUUCUGCUUUUAAAAAGAGUUAAAAUCAUGUUUUUUUGCAAUGUUACGCUAAAAUCAUUACUUAAAACUCCUGUGAGGAACUUUAUGUUUGUGUCGAUUUUUGGCGCCCCCCUGUGGACAUUUAAAUCAUGUCACUGACACCUUUAUCCCAGUGGUUACAGGUAUUAGAAAUGUCAAUGAAAACAUGAUCAGUCUUGCUGCUGGUGGUCUUGUUUAUUCUAGUAGGUCAAAAGGGACAUAGCUUUAUAUUGCAUUGUGUUUUAUAACCAGGGAAAAUCCACACAGGAGCUUUAAUUGACAAAUAUUGUUUUUAUUUAUUUAUUUGUUUUUCUUGUUCUGUCUCUGUCUUCUCAGAUAUAGAGGAUUAGCCCUUUUUAACUAAUUGGCUUAUAUUUUCGACUAAAUAAUUUCACAUUUUGAACCAAUUUUAACACGUUAAAGCCUACCCAGAAAUUUUAUUCACUUGAGGUUAAUUUUUCAGGAAAAACAGGCUCUUAAAUCAGAUGUUUGUUUGUUUUUCCACAACUGAUGGUUAGGGCUAGGUGAUAAAAUGAUAACGAUAUAUAUAUCGAAAAUAAAUUUUCCUCUAUAUCAAUAUAAAACAUGGUCAAUAUGCUUUUCGAUAGUCAGCAUUCUGCCAUGUUUUGGCAGACUAUACGAAUAGCCAAUGAAAAGAGGAGUUGCCCCGGGUCCGCUUCGCGCUGAACCAAUCAUGUGCUGAAUUACAACUAAGUAGCAAACAACUGCGUAGUAACAGGCUGCAGCUACACACAACUAUAGCACUUGUGCAGCCGAAACAGCUGACCAUUCUGCUUUUAUAUCGCAACUCCUAACGACAAAACGUCAAAGAGACACAAAGACGACACAGAUGCAGUAGCUUAUUGUAUUAAAAAAGACAUGCUACCAAUAAGCACUGUUACAUUUCAUUUAAGAGUACCAGGGAACAUUUAAGAUUGACUAGUGAUUUUUUUUAUGUUGUGAUAUAUAUUAAUAUAGACUGAUAUGAAAAAAAUAUAUGAUAAACUUUUUCCCAUAUCGCCCAGCCCUACUGAUGGUAUAUGCAACAGAACAAUAACUACUGUAUCAAUUGUAAAGCUCCCCCUGACUACCUCUUUCAGUGUAACAAGUGGAAAAUGGGUCAAACAAGAGGGUUAAAGUACAUGUCAAAUAAGUUUUUGGCAAAUAUGCUUUCAGUCAUACCAGUAAGUUCUUAUAUUUUCUUUUAUGUUUAAACCAGGAUCAUCACAGCUGUUUAAAUCUACCUGUAUUCAACCUACAAACACAUCACCUACAAUUUAAAGUCCAAACCACUUCUAACUUGACAUCACUUAAUAAUAAAAUAACGCAUCAGAUUUCACAUAGCAUUUCUUCAGAGAUCCUUCAAGUGCUUUACAUUGGAUACAUCAUUCAUUCACACACACAGUCACACCUUGGUGGUGGUAAACUUCCUUUGUGGUCACAGCUGCCCUAGGGCAGACUGACGGAAACAUGGCUGCCAGUUUGCGCCUACGGGCUCUCCACACAACACUCACAAUCAUACAUCAGUGGAGGACACACUCUGGGAGCAAGGUGGGUUAAGCGUCUUCUCCAAGGACACAACGGACAGACUCAGGAUAGGGGGGAAUCGAACCACCAACCUUCCAGUAAUUGGACGACUGCUCUACCUCCUGAGCUACUGCCGCCCACUUGAGGUUUUUCAAGUUUCUGAAAGUGGAGGCUCAACUGUCCUGAAAUUUUAAGUCUGACAGACCCCCUCCCCAAAGUCCUAGUGUUGGGAACCAGGUGCAGGAACCUUUUCGAGGUAGUUACGAGAAAGUUCCAGCAGUGUAUCUUCAGCUUAUGUUGAAUACUGGGUCUCAAUAAUGAAUACUAUUUAGUCAUUUCUGACAUAAAAGACCAAAUUGAUUAGUCAAUUGAUUGAAAAAAAUCCCCUGUAGAUUGUGAUAAGUAACAAUUACAGUUAUUGAUUAUGGUCUUGAUUUGGUGGGAAUGAGAUUAGAAUCAUUAUCUGGUUAUAACACACCCUGAGGGCUUCAAUACAUACAAGAAACCAAAGAGGGAACUGUAACUCAGCGGAGGGCACUUCUCUUAAUCUAAAUCUAAUAGCCUACAGUAUUCAGCAGGACCAGUGACUAAAUCCCAGGAUCCCCUGUCCUGGGAGAGAACCAGUUUCCCUCCAUCUGAGCGGUUUGGGAUAUACAAUUCCCCCACAGGGAGUACAGUGUGUGUGUGUGGGCCUAUGUGUAAGAUCUAUUAGCUUACAGUAUUUGAUAGCUCCACAAAAAUGCUCUAGAGGCACUUUAAGGGAAGAUCACUGAGCUUCCUCUCAUGAUGAAAACAUGCUACUUGCAGUCCCUCAAGUGUUCUGAGCAUUUGUAUGCUCUUUACAUGGAGGCUUUUUACACAGCUUGAUACGUGGUGUUCUAGCACAUGAUUUCCGGGAUGUGAAGAUUUACAAACACCAAGCCUCCAGAGGCACUUUCAAAAAGCCCACACCAUGUUGAGCACAAUAUUAGAGGUUUAAUUAGAGGUCUAUGUGGGUUGUAAGUGGCAGCAUUAUAAGGAAAUGGAAAAUCAAAUGCUGUGGGGUAAUUUUCACUGUCAGCGGUUAUGAUUCGACAGAACAAUUAAUCAGCACAAACGCUUCGUGGAAGGAAAUGCUCAUCAGGAAGUCAUCAGUCGCCAUCAGUUCUUCCACAUCCAUUCAUCAAACUGCAGCACAGGUACAACAGUUUUCCUCUCUACUUUCACUCUCACUGUAUUUACAGCUAGGUCUGUUAGAAAUGCAUUUGCUGCCAUCUAGUGGCAGGAGUUCAUGCUAAAACAAACAGGGAAAAUAUGACCCAUAUUCACACAAGGAUGUAUUUUGAACACUUGGAACCACAUUACUAUCACAUACUGUAUGUUUUAUACCAUUGGAGUUAUAGGCCUGGAUGUUCACAUUUACAGGAAACUCAAGAGUAUGUUAAAGGGAUAUUCCGACGUAAAAUUAAUUAAGAUCAAACACACCGUAACACCGAGUUAGACACCCCUUCGAGAGAUGAAUGUUGCCGACCCCUUGCUUCUCUAGUUGAGGCCGACUUUAGCAAUACACGAUAGCAAUACAGAGAGCCACUUGCUCAACCAAAAAGCCACUCUAUAGCCACAAAUAAUGCUCAGAACAGCACCUAACUUCAUCAACAGUAUAGGGUCCCAGCCACAGCACUAGCCACCAAACAUCUUUUAAGCUUUACCUGAUUUCUUUAGCAAAGAGACUAAACAAAACUCACCUACUCUCUUCCAGCAGCCGCUUGUUUAUACGGAGACCUCAGGCCAGUCCAUUACAGACUGCUGCGGGGUGAUGCAGCUCAAGGAAGAACAUUUAUGAUCAUUUCUCAAUGGAAAUGCAAUCAGACUGAGACACUAAGGCAGAAGAACUACCACGUCUGUAGAGCAAAAUGAUUAAUUUGGUGAUUUUUACUUCAAGGAAAUAAAGUAAUGAUCAUAAAUGUUCUUCCUUGAGCUCCGUCACCCCACAAACUCUAAUUCUCACUCUAAUGCUAAGCCAAUCAUGAAUGUGCCCUUCAUCCUGGGUUACUGUAUUUACUAUACACUGUUUACACUGUAUUCCUUUUACACUGUUCUACACACGAUUCAGUUUCCUACUUGUUCCAUCCUUAAGUCAAAUUUCCCUUAUUUCUGUACUUUUUUGUCAUCUUCCUCUUUCUUGUAUAUGCAUUUUUUGAAUGGGUUUGUAAUACGCUGCCCUAAAUACCAUAAAUUAUCACAAGCAAAUCCUAAAUAAAUAUAAAUGUUCAAUAAUUAAGGUAGAUUUGGUUAAGUACUCAGACAUGUCCAUGUAACAUUUCAACUCAGGGGACACCUAUCAGUGACUAUUUGGUGUGUCUGCAGAGUCAGAUCAGAAGCAGUAAAUUAGUAAAUUAUGGAUGCUCAAUAUAAUAAAAGAAAUGCUCUAACUGUGUGAGUCAAAAGUGAUUGUUUAUGUGGAUUUUAAAGUCCUUGCCUCGUUUCCAGUACCAUCUAAAAUAUCAGACCUCUCGUGAGUAAAAAAAUGUGUUUGUAUAUUGUAUGACCUAAAAUUUUAAGUCUUACCCAAGACUUUUAAAGACUUUUUUAAGGUGCUGCAAGAAGCCUGCUCAGCAAGGAACUUAUUUUGUUGACAUAACACUUGAAGUUCACGAAUAGGAAGCCAACAGUAAGGAAAGUGAACGCAUUUAAGGUUGAUGCUAGGUAUGCUAAUUUAAAGAAGACAGACUGUAACCUUAAGUGAAAGUACACAGCCAAAGAAAUAAUAAAAACACUCACCUCAGUCGUGUUUCGCUUUGCUCUGUGUACAUGUGAGAGUUUUGAGAAGAAGGGCAGCACAUUCACUGUACUUUCCUCCGGCAAACUUGUUUUUGGGAUUCACGACCUCCAUAACAUUAUUUGGAAAUCUAAACAUGUUAUUUUGCCGCCUCGCCGCUAGGCGGCAGCACUUGCAUCCUGGUGGCGCUCCGGUUCGCAGAAUCCCUCUUUGUAGCUGUUGUUGAGCACAGGCGAAUGCUGCGUUCAGGUUCUCACUGUAAAUAAGAGUUUUACGAAAAACUUAAGUCAUAAACCCUGUCCUUUGCAAGCCUGCAGGCUGGCGCUACAAAACAAUGUUGGAUUUAAGACAACAAAAUCAAGAUAUGAGUACAUGUGUCAUGUAUUUAGAAUAUCCACAGUACUUCUGUGUAAAUUCAACUCAUUUGCUUGAUUUGUGUACAGCAGUUGGUUCACCAGUUACUGUAAUUGUCACAUUUUCUCAAUUUUCUUAUUUUUUAAAAUAUAUACUACACGUGUCUCUUUUAUGCUAUGUCUCCCUACCCAACGAAGUCCGCUUCGUGGUAGUUCGUGAUUGUUUCAAAAUGCAGAUUAAAGAUAUUCACUUGGACUAGAGAUGGGCACUGCAGUUCUUCUAGAUGUACUGAAUCACUAGAAUCAGUUCACUGAAAAGAUUCGUUCAAAAGAUUCAUUUAUCAAAUCACCGAAUCAUUCAGCGCUUGGCAGGAGGAGCCUGCGACUCCGACUUCCUGAAGAGACACACAGCUGAAGAAUUCAGGUUUUGGUCCAGUUCAUGGCUCCUGAGCCCGGGAGGUGAUAUUUUUUUGCAGGAUGGUAGGGGAAAGUCCCGCCUCCUUUGUCUCUGAUUGGCGAAAAAAGCUGGAAUUGUCAUCACACGCUCGAGCCAAAUGCAGGCUGUUAGCUUUGUACAUCGAACAGAACAUUACAGAACUUUAUCGCACUUGUGAAUCGCCAAACCCUAACCAUAACCAUAACCAUAACCAUUACCCGGCAGACGAUGACGUUUCACAGCCAUUAGGAAUAACCAAUCAGAGCCCAGCACUUCUAGCUAGUCAGUGGCGAAGGAGGGCGGGACAUUCCCCUAACAUCCUACAAAAAAAAAAUUUGCGCCUGUGAGAUGAGAGUGUUGUGCGUACAGUCCCUCCCUUCCUGCGCCAGCUGAUUGCCCAGCAAUACUAAAUACUAUGGCAGCUGCACUGCUGACAGCUAAACUUAGCUGAGAAAUGAACGAUUCACUUGAGGAAGUGAUUCGGUUCAGUACAUUCACUUAGAAGAUUCGUUCUUUUGAAUGAAUCAUUCGGGAAUGACAAAACACUUGCUACGACCGAGAUGCGAAGGCAACACGGCUGUUUCACAUGCAAUCAACUCAUUG